GGUCAGUGAUGAGCAGUAAAAGGUCUGAUUACCCACAGUCCUCUCCUGCUGCCCUCUGGCUCCCAUCAGCCCCUGCUCUGCGCUCCCAUCAUACUCCAGUGAUGCACUGAUUGUUCCAGGAGCUGCUGACAGACAGACAGGAAGUGACAUCACAGCCUGAGUCUGUACAGAGACCCUACAGGCUCAGUGUGAUGUCAUCUAACAGAACCAAUCAGGAUAGAGCAUCGGGCUGAGGAAGAGGAGGGAGCUGAUCUCAAGUUUUCAAGUUCAACCUGAGGCC